UACGCAGGGGGCUAGCGUUGUUCGGAAUUACUGGGCGUAAAGCGCACGCAGGCGGAUUGAUAAGUCAGGGGUGAAAUCCCGAUGCUUAACCUCGGAAUUGCCUUUGAUACUGUCUGUCUUGAGUCCGGGAGAGGUGAGUGGAAUUCCUAGUGUAGAGGUGAAAUUCGUAGAUAUUAGGAAGAACACCAGUGGCGAAGGCGGCUCACUGGCCCGGAACUGACGCUCAUGUGCGAAAGCGUGGGGAGCAAACAGG
rnacentral:rRNA from 1 species